CCUUAGAUGUUCUGGGCCGCACGCGCGCUACACUGACAGAGCCAACGAGUAUAAACCUUAACCGAGAGGUUUGGGUAAUCUUGUUAAACUCUGUCGUGCUGGGGAUAGAGCAUUGCAAUUAUUGCUCUUCAACGAGGAAUAUCUAGUAAGCGCAAGUCAUCAGCUUGCGUUGAUUACGUCCCUGCCCUUUGUACACACCGCCCGUCGCUACUACCGAUUGAAUGGCUCAGUGAGGCCUUCGGACUGGCUCAGGGAAGUCGGCAACGACUACCCAGAGCCGGAAAGUUGGUCAAACUUGGUCAUUUAGAGGAAGUAAAAGUCGUAACAAGGUUUGAAGUAAGAUCCUUUCGUUAGGUGACGCUACGAGAAGCCUUUGUGGCCCCGCAAGGGUACCUGCCGCGACUAUAAAAAACGUAAGUGNGUAUUAAAUCGCAAGUCUCUAUUAUAGAGGCUACACUUUCGAAUUGCGGGGAACUCCUAAAGCUCAUAUCUACCAAGCUGGUUUGAGAAAUCUGCUAGUGGCUUGUGGUAACGACACAAGGUAUGGUAAAAACGAUCGAGAUAAGCAACUUUGGUUGCAACAUGGAUAAUCCGCAGCCAAGCCCUAAGGUCUAUUUGACUAUGGGAAAGGUUCACAGACUAAGUGGAAGUGGGCUGUUGCAUGCAUGCAACGGCUUAAGAUAUAGUCGGGUUUUGCAAGAAACUGCAAAAGAGUCACCCAGAAAGCACUUCACAAAGCUAUGUAGAGUUGAAAUAUCAAUGAGCACAGUUUGAAUGGCUUGGGCUAACUGUAAACCCAUCCCCUAGGAUAUGAUUAAGACUUGCUUGCAAGAGGAGAUCUGGUAAUAUCCUGGGUGGCGGAUGGGAGCCGGUUACUUGCUCAUGUCUGCUGCCCAGUAGAUCCUUGGAGUUGUAUUGUUUGGAUACCACGGUCUUCGCCCCUCUAUCCAACAAAAAUGUCUUCCAACUUCUAUGCAGCAAACACAGCCCAUGUCAGACAAACUGUUGUCCAAAUAUUCAACUCGAAAAACUUUCGGGAAAUCAACGCGCACAUUACGGAUAACGAGUACCAAGCUCUGGUGAACCAAAUCGCCUGGCCUCUAAACAAGCCGGUCUAUUCUCCUUACGCUAUNACUCAUGACGGUNACACGCAAGUUCGCCCGCCCCUACAGUGCCUUCUCGCUCGGAAGAUCCAAGUACCUCACACAUAGGAUCACGUUCUGGCAGCACUAUGGGNUUUAAUCCCCGGGGUCAAGAUGUGUCUCAUACUCUCUUCUUGGGUUCUAAGACGUCAAACAACAUCAACCCUCUAUUCUUGGUUGCUGAACCUAAUGAUAUCAAUCACACUCGCAAAACCUGUGCUCUCUACUUCGACAUCUUGUUGCAACGCAAAUAUCGAACAGAAGCUGGCCGUCGCGGGGUUGGGUAUUGGGAUUUCAAUGAUCAAGAUGUUGUGGAUUGGCAAGCGUGGUGGGCAACUUCGGUUGUCCCUGUACAUCUCUGCUGUACUGAACUGCAUUCUCCUCUGUGCUGCUCUGUCAACUUCUCCGAAUGGGUCAAAGACUACCGGCAAAGGAACAACAUUCUGCCCCAAGAUCCUGAAUAUGAGACUGAAGAAGAAGCAAUCAUUCGCCUCUCCUCACCAGAACCAUCAGAAUCUGAUACAUCCAACCAACCAAGGUCGUCUCAACAACGUUCUUCGCAGGAUUCGGUGGAUCAGGUCUUAGGAUUUUGUACGAAAGGAUAGUUCCCUAGAUAGUCUGGAAUGAAAAGUCAGUGGGAUUGAACUGUAAAUGUGCCAUCGUAAAAAAAAUGUGCUAUAAAUGGUUCUGUUCCAGUGCCUUGAUUUUCAACUUUACAUAGCUUUGUGUUGUGCAUUCUGUGCGCUAUAAACCGUUCCGUAGGUGAACCUGCGGAAGGAUCAUUACCAAAUUUAUGCGAACCCGGUUCAGGCCGUGGUAAGCUUCAACCCUUUGUGAACCAAAAAACCUUUUCGCUUCGGUUAGCGGGGAGCGGUUGCGGGUGAAAACCCAACCAAUUCCGUAAGCCUGCCGGCAGCACCAAAAUUUAAACCUGUCGUCAAAUAUUGUCUGAAUACCAUAUUUUCGAAUGAAAAUUAAAACUUUCAACAACGGAUCUCUUGGUUCUCGCAUCGAUGAAGAACGCAGCGAAACGCGAUAGUUAAUGUGAAUUGCAGAAUUCAGUGAAUCAUCGAGUCUUUGAACGCACAUUGCGCCUAUUGGUAUUCCAUUAGGCAUGUCUGUUUGAGCGUCAUUACAACCCCUCAGCGCAAGCUGGUUUUGAGCCGGUUGGUCUUGAAAAAGCCAACCGGUUUUAAAGUUGUAAGCUCUGCUGGCUGCUACGCCCAACCAAAAACAUAGUAAACUUUUGCUUGUUUGAAGGUGAGGCUUGCUGGACCGGCCUGAACAAAACUUUUACUUCUAAGGUUUGACCUCAGAUCAGACAAGGAUACCCGCUGAACUUAAGCAUAUCAAUAAGCGGAGGAAAAGAAACCAACAGGGAUUGCCUCAGUAACGGCGAGUGAAGCGGCAAAAGCUCAAAUUUGAAAUCUGGAGUCUUCGACUUCCGAGUUGUAAUUUGAAGAGGAUGUUUCGGUUGCGGCUUGGGCCCAAGUUCCUUGGAACAGGACGUCAUGGAGGGUGAGAAUCCCGUACGUGGCUACCGGCUUGCUUCUAUGUGAAACUCCUUCGAAGAGUCGAGUUGUUUGGGAAUGCAGCUCAAAAUGGGUGGUAAAUUUCAUCUAAAGCUAAAUAUUGGCGAGAGACCGAUAGCGCACAAGUAGAGUGAUCGAAAGAUGAAAAGCACUUUGAAAAGAGAGUUAAACAGUACGUGAAAUUGUUGAAAGGGAAGCGCUUGCAAUCAGACUCGCUUUCGGUUGAUCAACGUUCCUUUUGGUUCGUGCACUCUGCCGUUUGCGGGCCAGCAUCAGUUGAGGCGGUGGGACAAAGGUUUCGGGAAUGUGGCUCCCUCGGGAGUGUUAUAGCCCGUUUCGUAAUGCCACCAGCUUCGAUUGAGGUCCGCGGUUCGCCUAGGAUGCUGGCUUAAUGGUUGUGAGCGAC
rnacentral:rRNA from 1 species